rnacentral:rRNA from 1 species
UUAAACUAGGGAUUAGAUACCCUAUUAUUAAAAUUUAAAUUAAUAAUACUAAAAUAGUAAAUAAUUAUUUAUUGAAACUUAAAUAAUUUGGCGGUAUUUUAGUUCAUUUAGAGGAAUCUGUUUAAUAAUUGAUAAUCCACGAAUAAAUUUACUUAAUUUUUUAUUUUGUAUAUCGUUGUUAUAAAAAUAUUUUUCAAUAAUAAUAAUAUUUAAAAAUUUUAAUUAAAAAUUAAAUCAGAUCAAGAUGCAGAUUAUAAUUAAGAAUAUAAUGGAUUACAAUAAAUUUAUUUAAAUGAAUAUUAAUUUGUAAGAUUUAAUUGAAGGUGGAUUUAAAUGUAA